AAAUUUUAAAUGGCUGUUUCUCUCAGGACUUAUGGGAGCAAAAAAGGAAAAUGAAUAUCCUUCGAAAUAGUAACAAUAUUACUUAGGCAAGUUUUAAAAUUUGGAUAAAGAUACACAGUUUCAACGUAGGAGAAAGAGUUAUUGAGGGUGAUAUCUGUCACCCUGAGCUGAGGAUGUGUGGAGAAGGGGUGCAGUGGACGAUAGGUGUGUUAUUGUGGGGCUUAGUUUACUCUGUAAGACUCAGCUCCAGAGUUUAAAUCUUUGUUCAGUGAUUAGGGUGUGUUUCAAUGUUCGUUUUGGGUUUUUUUAUGUGAGUGUUUUUUUUUCAUUUUCUACGCUGUCCGCCCGUUAUAAAAGCAAGAUUAUCAGCGUAUUUUCUUGUGGCCCUCAGCAGCGGGAGAUUUUCAACGUGUGAUCUUCACAAAAGCGACGGUGUCGUAGCGUUUACCUUGGGCCUUCAGCAUCUCAGAAGUCGUUACCUCGCCGCCAGCCAUCUGCAUCCAAACCAGAUUGCCAAAACAACCAGGCAAGCCCAAGAGUGACGGGGCCUGAGACCUUCUACUACACCUCGUCGGACAACUAGCCAUAUCUUCUGAGAAACCUCAGAUAACCCUUGACAUGGCAGGAGAAGGACAACAACCCGUGUGGGUUCCCUCCCAGCAACUGAGAUUGCAUUAUAACUCCAAGGAUGUAGAACUCUCAGAAACAAAAGGCAAAGAACCGUCAGAAAGCAAAGAGCAAGGUUUGUCACCUGACACAUAAACUCCAUGACCUCGACAUUACAACAAAAUAUCGCCGUGUGACCUACAACACCAGUCAUUCUACUCUACCAACAUGGGGCCAGAUAAAAGUUUUAUCACAUCAAACAGAGAAAUUACUACAAGAAGAAGGAAUUCCAAAAAUGACGGGUAAUAUAAUUCUGGCUGCCGUUAUGGUGGUCAGUGCAGUGGUGAGUAUACCAGAGGUUGGGGCAACUCAAAAUUAUACCUACUGGGCAUACGUUCCUUUUCCCUCUUUAAUUCAGUCUGUCUCCUGGAUAGACUCCUCAGUGGAAGUUUACACUAAUAAUAGUGCAUUCACACUGGUCCCCGAUGAUGACAGGUUUCCAGCCCAACCAGAAGAAGAAGGUAUGCACUUUAAUUUGUCAAUUGGCUACAAAUAUCCACCACUGUGCAUUGGAAUUUGCCUGGCUGCUUAGCUUAUUAUAAGAACUGGAUGUGGACCAUACUGUCCUCUAGUAAUGAUUUUUAUCAAGUGCAUAUGUGUUCAGUAGCAAUUCUUUCCAACUCAUGAAUGUUAAACUUAAUCCACAUGAGGAAUGGAGGGUUCCUGUCACUACUAAAAUCAGUAAAACAAAAGGACUGCCAGACUGCUCAAAUGAACCUACAAAGGGACAUUUUCUAGUAAAUUCAAUUUUAUGGAAUUAUUAUAAUGCUCUAAAGGCCAUAGUGUUCCAAAAUCUAGCUACGGGUGUUGUUAUUGACUGGGAUCCAAGAGGGUAUUAUUGGAGGAAUUGCUCUGGCCAAAAUACCAAAUGCUCGGAGUUUAAUUAUUUGUUAGAUUAUGUGGAGGACUGAUGGCAGUCCUACAGGUUGAAGGAACGGGUGCCUCCUUAUCGAUUUAAAUGGAUGGACACAGGAAUCAUUCCUCCUAGACCAAAAAUGAUUCAUCCAGUUGUUACCCCAGAACAUCCUGAAUUAUGGAAAUUAGCUGCAGCCAUGACAAGAAUAAGGAUAUGGAAUGCUACCUAUCAAUUCUCUCCUACUAAUACCGAGACACCCAUAUUCAAGAUCACCUUGAUGUCAGAACAGGUGAUACCUAUCAGGAGCUGUGUCAAACCCCCUUAUAUGCUGUUAGUUGGAAAUAUAAUUAUCACUCCCAAUGCACAAACUAUAUAAUGUGAUGAUUGUAAGCUGUCCACGUGUAUUGAUGCUGCUUUUAAUCCCAGAACAAGUAUUCUCUUGGUAAGGGCUAAGGAGGUAGUAUGGAUACCAGUCUAUUUACAUCAUACAUGGGAGUCUUCCCCCUCUAUAUACAUAGUCAAUGAAGUUCUUAAACGUACCCUUCAGACAACUAAGAGGUUCAUCUUUACUCUUACUGCAGUCAUUCCAGGACUAAUUGCGGUUGCUGUAAUAGCGGCAACUGCUGGAGUUGCUAUCCACAACUCUGUUCAAACUGCUCAAUAUGUGGAAGCAUGGCAAAAAAACCCCACCAAACUCUGAAAUUCUCAGACUCAAGUUGAUCAAAAAUUGGCUAAUUAAGUUAAUUAUUUCCGCCAGAGUGUAAUCUGACUGGGAGAGAGAGUUAUGAAUCUGGAACACCGUAUGCAAUUACAGUGCGAUUGGAAUACUUCCGAUUAUUGCAUAACGGCUUAUGCUUAUAAUAAAGAUCAAUAUAGCUGGGAAAAAGUCUCAAAACAUUUAAAAGCCUGGGAUGAUAACUUAAUGUUAGAUAUUUCAAAACUUAAAGAACAAAUUUGUGAGGCCUCACAGGCUCAUUUAACUACUGUUCCUGGCUCGGACAUUUUUGAAGGAAUAACUAAAGGAUUAUCUGAUCUUAAUCCCUUUAAAUGGAUCAAACCCCUCAGAGGAUCAUUGUUGUCAUUGGCAUUAUUAAUACUGUAUGUUUACGUUGUCUACUUUUUAGUCUGCAGAUGUCUCCGAGGGGUCCCAGGACAAGUCUGAAGUCAACGACAAGCAAUGAUGGCAGUGACGAUCCUAGUCAAUAAAAAGGGGGAAGAUGUGGGUGGUUAGCCACCCAGGUGCCGAGGCAAGAGACCGAAGG